CGAAACACUUCUCGCGGACUUAACCAAUACCGAAUAAAGAUUGUAGAUCAAAAGGAUUACCAAGAAACGGCUUAAUCGCCUCUCCAAUCGCAUCAACUUCAGACAACAGCAUGGCCCCACUACUCUAGGGUUCCACUUUCAACACACACUUUGAAAGUGCAUAAAACGCAACUAAAUUCGCGUACACCGGCAAAAAAGCAUCUUUGUGAUUCCCAACUCCACCAAUCCAAUCCACGCUCCCCCUUUUCCCAAUGUACUCCCGACUAAACCCUAUCAACUCUUCGUAAAACCUCGUCCUCCAUUUACCCAAAAUACCCCUGGCCCCACCACUGUUUGAACUCGGAAUAACUUGUAACUGCAAACAACAUAUCUGACAAAUCAACAGCUUCUCUUGGUAAUGAUUGUCAAUCUCCUUAUCGAAGACUCGUCUGACAAGGUCUCCACCAGAUACAAAGUAGCUUCCGCCGUUCGAAACCCAACUGCAUAGACAGUCCAAAUAAUCAUGCCACUAGCCAAAAACUUCCGUCAGAUGCUCAAAAGAUAGUUCAAUUACUUUCUCUACUUGGCUUGAAGCCAUAGCAAACGGGGAGUUCUUUUUUAAACGGCGAGUGUUUUUCUGAGCCCACAGAUCGAGAACUUUACGAGCGUACAGUUUAAUAGACAGAUUCUCGUCGGAAAUUGUGGAGCUAGAAACCAAAGAACCGAGGGCCUCUGCAUUAGCCAGCAGAGCAGAAGCUAUCAUUGAUUCUGCAGCCGCCUUUCGCAUAUUAAUUUACAUGCUCUGAUGCAUCGCUGUUUUGUUCGAUCAUAUCCAUGAAAUAAGUUAACGCAUCGUAGAAAUCAGAAAAUAAUUUACUUGGAGUAGUUUCUUUCUUCUCCACUUUAGAAGAAAUAAAGCAUACUCCCAUGCAAUGCAGCAGAUGAGUGUUUGACGAGUCUUGGCAUGCCUUGUGAUCUCAAACAGAGAAACCAACUUGUUCCAUAACUGGAAUACCGAGUCGCGGUCCAUAUUACAGACAUAUGUUGUUUCUGAACUUGG
rnacentral:lncRNA from 1 species